rnacentral:rRNA from 1 species
AUGGGCUCUUCGCCAGCCUCCGUCGAAGCAGCAGCUGCCCCCGAAGUUGCAUCUGAUGCUGCUGAAUCUGUAGAACAACUAGCUACAGUGGCCACCGUCACUGUCGUUGUUGAAGAGCUCGCCACUGCAGCUGUUAAUGAUGAAAUUCAUGCUGAUGAAACUCCUAUCACGGACACUGCCGUCGCCGAAGCUGCCCAAGUGUCCGUGCCCCCUGAAGCCGGAGUGGCUAUUGUAGUAACUAGUGUUGAUGCAGGAAAAACAGCUCCAGACUUGACGAUGAUGAAGUACUUAUGUGGUGGGAAGAAUUUGAACAUAACAACCCAUCAGCCAAAGGAAAAGCUGUUGUUCAAGGAGGUAAUCAAUUUUUGUUAG